UGCAAUGGCCAAACUUCAGGCUGACAUUUGUUUAAAUGAGGAUAUCGAUAAGAACAAUUAACUAGUCAGUGUAAUUUCAAUCAAGGCCAUGAUGGUGUUGGAGCUACCACUACUGAAAUUUGUAUACUGGUCUUUGAGCUUGGGUUUUACAUUUGGUAAUUAACUAUCAGUUUCAUAUUCGAGCAUGAAUCUCAGUGCUUUGCACUUUUCGAAACAAGAUUAAAUUCUCCCACGAGAAACGAGAUGUUGGUAUUUCCUUUUUUCUGCUUUGAUAAUAAAAAAUAUGCCAGCAUUCGAAAAACGUCGUCUAAGGGCGUCUUAC